GCUCGUAUAGCUCAGUGGCAGAGCGCUCCACUCGUAAUACACGCUUUCAAGCGUCGAAAAGAUAUGGAGAGGUCAUUGGUUCGAUCCCAGUUUCGAGCA